rnacentral:rRNA from 1 species
AAAAAUUUAAAGUAAUGUUUGCUCAAUGCAUUGUAAAUAGCUGCAGGUGACUGUACUAAGGUAGCAUAAUCAUUAGAUUAUUAAUUGUAAUCAAGAAUAAAAGACAAAAUGAAUAAUAUUCUUUCUUCUAUAAAAAAUUCUAACCUAAUAUUUUUGUAAAAAAGCAAAAAUUUAAUUUAGGGACAAGAAGACCCUAAGAAGCUUUAAAUUUUAAAUUCAUAUAAAUGUUUAAAAAUUUUUUGUUGGGGCAACAUUUAAAAAAAAUAACAUUAAUUUUAUCCAAGACUCUUGAAAAAAAGAAAAAGUUACUCUAGGGAUAACAGCACAAUAAAAGAUAAAGAGAUCUUAUCUUCAUCUUUGAUUAUGACCUCGAUGUUGGAUCAAUUUUUCUAAUUGAUGAAAAAGUCAAUUAAGAAAGUCUGUUCGACUUUUAAAAAAUUACGUGAUCUGAGUUCAAAACCGGAGAAUCGA